UUGGAGGGCAAGUCUGGUGCCAGCAGCCGCGGUAAUCCCAGCUCCAAUAGCGUAUAUUAAAGUUGUUGCAGUUAAAAAGCUCGUAGUUGAAUUUCGGGAUUAGUACGCUGGUCGUGCCUUCGGUACGUACUGGUGUUACUGAUUCCUACCUUCUGACGAACCAUCAUGUCAUUAAUUUGGUGUGGCGGGGAAUCAGGACUGUUACUUUGAAAAAAUUAGAGUGUUUAAAGCAGGCUCGCGCUUGAAUACAUUAGCAUGGAAUAAUGAAAUAGGACGUUGAUCCUAUUUUGUUGGUUUCUAGGAUUGACGUAAUGAUUAAUAGGGAUAGUUGGGGGCAUUAGUAUUCAAUUGUCAGAGGUGAAAUUCUUGGAUUUAUUGAAGACUAACUACUGCGAAAGCAUUUGCCAAGGAUGUUUUCAUUAAUCAAGAACGAAAGUUAGGGGAUCGAAGACGAUCAGAUACCGUCGUAGUCUUAACCAUAAACUAUGCCGACUAGGGAUCGGAUGAUGUUAUUUUUAAUGACUCAUUCGGCGCCUUACGGGAAAC
rnacentral:rRNA from 1 species